GCUCCCGUAGCUCAGCUGGAUAGAGCAACUGCCUUCUAAGCAGUAGGUCGCAGGUUCGAGUCCUGCCGGGAGUG
rnacentral:tRNA from 1 species